rnacentral:tRNA from 1 species
UGAAAGAUAAGCUAAUCUAAGCUGACGGGCUCAUAUCCCGUUUAUGAGUUAUCUCUUUCAA